UUUUUUUUUUACUUGGCCUUAUCCCCGGCCUACACCUAAGGAUUUAGCAGUUUGUCUUUCUGAGGGUUAACUAGAGCAGGGCGUUGUAAAGGUUAUAGUAGGACUUCGUUGGUGGUUUUUUUUUUUUUUAAUCUCUCGUCUUUUAUUCUCUUCCUUAUUGUUCCUCUUACUGUAUAUCGUGGGAACUUCUGUAGGGCAAUAUCCCCACGAAAUAAGCUUAAAUAAAUUUGUAAACCAGUAACAUUUAGUUUGAUCGAAAGGUGAAACUGGUUUGACCAUUGAUUACCCUUCCUCUCUAGAAACUUUAUUUAUUGAAGAACUAUUUAUCAGACUGCUGGACUUCAGUUUUAGAACCAGGAAAUAGACUUGUAUCUUGCAGCCGUCCACUAAAAAUACUCUUACAGUGCAGUAUCCAUGGCAAUUUCGAAGCCGACUGGGAGAGAGGCUGGCCCAGGUGACCCAUCCCCAGGUCAGAUUUACCUAAGCCAAGACAAUAAAAGAAGCCAAGCAAUAACGAUGGUUCUAGCAGCAUCCCAGCUAUAGCAGUCAAGUUCAGCAUUGGAUAGUCCCCACAGUGCCCUUCGUCAGAGCUCCAGUGACACUGGCCCACUCACUGCAGGACUGUCCAACCCACCAGAAACUAAGAGCACAGACAUGGCCUGCUGACAAGAUCUUUUAUCCCCUGUAGUAUCUAUAGUGAACGAGGCUAUGUCUCAUGUUCUUAGCCGCAGAAGAAAAUGAUGGACCACGAAGAAUGGAUAAAUCUUACCUCGAGGGCUGAGGCAGAUAAAAAAAAAGGAAAGGUGCUUAGGGUGCAGCUGAUGGGACACGAAGGUGCUGGGGAUAGAGGAGAUGGAAAUCACUGAGUGGGGUGGGGGAGGCCGGAGGCAUUCCACACAUAGCAAACAGAUGUUGUGGCCACACUGCUUGUCUGCACACGUUGCUUGCCGUUAGCAUCUCGUCACAUCGCCUUUCUUUGUCCCAACUCGCUGAAGGGUCGAGGAUUUGGGGUGGUGGACGUCUUUACUGCUGAACGUUAGAGGGGUUGGGAAGAGGUCAUAGUGCCCCUUUUCUGUAGCUCAAAGUGGACAAGAGGUUAGUAAGGUGAAAUCAGACGAGAUACAGUAGUAGAAAUUAAAGGCUUCCCCUUUCUUUGAUAACUUGAUAUGUUAAGAAGCAUUGAGUGGGUUGCCGGAAGCUGGCGGCUACAUGACUACAAAGAGGUAAAGAUAGGAGUUGACCUUUCAGGGUAGUGUGUUAGUGCGGCCACUCAUCUCGAGGCCAGCGUAUGAUCAAGGGUGUCCAUCCUAUAAUCCCUUACAGCGUUGUCUUCUCUAAGCCUCUGUAAGAGGUCAGAUACUCUACUGGCCUACUCAAAGGCUUGGUCAGCUAGAAGGGGAGCUUAGUGCGCCACACGCUUGUCGAGCUGAGUAGUGUUCGCGCCUACGGCCAUAGGACACCACUGUUGGCCUCCACCCCUUCCCCGUGUGAGUACAGUUCACAUGCGAUAUCUCGAUCCGUGACUAACAGCAGGUCACAGCCAGGGAAGUGUUCAAGUGAGUUAUGACUCGUUUUCGAAAGGGAGCGAGAUCAUCCAGUACCGUUAUAGCUGAUGUAAUUGCAGGCGUUCAUUGUUUGUAUUUCAGCGAAAGUGAUUGCAGCUAAAUGCACACAGCUCUACAUGGCAUGGCGGAAGAAGUCGUGAGGGUAGAGACGGAUUGGGAGGGCUUCCUUGUUGCCGUUGAGAUGGGGGCUCUAAACUGCUGCUGACGAAGGUCCGCCAAGGGGUUAAGCAAAAACGGCGUUCGUUCAUUCACAGCCUGUCCAGAAUAUCUUCCUGCAGCAUGCUCACACUUCCUGUUUCUGACAGAACUUCGCAGCAGCAGCAGCGGAUGCUGCACGGGGGUAGCUAGUGUAGGCGCGACUAAACAAUAAAGCUGUUCUCGACGCGUGGGCGUCGCAUGCAGGUGGGAGACACAUGUCACGUGGGUUGAGACGACUCGUCCUCUUGUACUGCCGCACUCGACACGGAUUUCCCUGACCACAGUGACGUCAGGACUGCUGCGUCAUCUUGUAUCUCUUAUACUUAUAUAGUUGGUUACUGCGAGACCCAAGCGAUGAGAGUUCACUGACCGACCAUUUCCCAUCGGCUGGUGGCCAAACUAACCCUGACCAGCUAUGUCGGCCGUGACAUUUUUCCUGUCAGGCCUUGUGACCUCAGGUCACGUCGAUUCAAUAGUAUGAAAGAAGAAAAGAACUUAGGCUCCACGAGCAGGAAGUCAAGGGAGUGUGAGUGUGAGAGAGAGGUCUCCAGAUCAAUCUAGUACAUUAAAUUUACAUUAAAUCCCCAGAGAGGACUUCUUAUUGACUGGAACCUUUACACCUGAUGAAGCCAUUUCUUUAUCCAGUACCUUUGUCAGAUCAAUGUCGGGGGUCACGUGAUCCGAACUUGGAAUGGAUUGGGUUUCAUACGAUAGCUCUAUGUGGAAUUUGCUGUGCCUCCCAGUUAUCCUGGAAGUAAUUACCAUUGUACCAUGUCUCAGCCAGAUUGAUUAACCGAAGGAUUAAUUAUUCACGCCACGUGCUCAGGGCGUGCUCAGGAUUUGCCUAGUAGGGGGCUUGUGUUCUGGAAACUUCUGUGGAGCUGUACCUAUGACAAUCCGUGGGUUUGUGACUUUAAAAAAAAAAUAUCUGUAGGCUGGCGCCUUCAAAGAUGCGAUCAGGAGGGUUGGAGCCCCUAAUACCAGCUGUCGAGUGUCACUGCCUAGGUUCAUCACCGAUACCACGGCGACACGCCACCUGCUUAGAAGUAAAUUACAGUGGAGAAGAUCGAGGGGUGGAUUUGCACCCGGGCACACUAGAAAGUUUCAGGUUAACGUAAUUAGUAUUAGGUGGUUUUCGAAUGGUUUUCUACCUCUUCCUUUUGGUGAAUGUCAAGGGCCCUUGGAACGAAACCUUUCAUGCUCGAUUAACGAGUGAAGAAACCAAUAUAUUGAGUGCACGGAAUUUUAUUUGUACGAUUUGCUUGAGAGUAUUAUAGCUGGGUUGUUCGCGCCACUGCAAAGAGUUAUUUUAAUUGGCCGUAAGCGCAUUGCGACAAGAUGGCAGCAUCUUCAGACCUCAUCGUAUCCUCCCCUCUUUUACCUCAGGGCUCAGUGUUCAUCCCCGCACGAAAUGUGUGGGCGGGUCUCUAUGGAUAUGGAGGCCGUCACAUGUUCAUGAUGCGGACGGACCUGGGCAAGUAAUGGUCAUGACCGGGGUUGGGAGAGGGGAAAUGUUGGCCUUUUUGACCCAGCACUAGCACUAUCUGUUCACGAUGCAAGCUAGACCUUUGUGACCCAGCACUAACACGACCCGAGGCCCAGUGCUGCUGUUCUUUUCAAGAAGUGUGUAAGAGAGACGAGUAGGGAGGGGACUUGCUAAUGUGACACAAAGCCCUUAAAAAUACCCCACAAAAGCACCCAGCUUGACAACUUACACUCGCCCACCCCUAAAAGUAGUAUCACUCAGGUUUUGUAUGUCCAUGCUUUGGACACGGCAAACAUCUGCGGGGAGGUUACCGGUACGGGGGUAACGUGAAGGUGGUUUUGGUAGGGGAAGGAAGCUAACUUGCGACCCUGCUCUCUUUUAUUACCCCAGGUGAGGUCGCCCCUUAUGAAAUAUUAGUGUCCAGAUUUGAUCGGACGUAUAUU